rnacentral:rRNA from 1 species
GAGUUUGAUCAUGGCUCAGAACGUACGCUGGCGGCACGCCUAACACAUGCAAGUCGAACGAAGUAGCAAUACUUAGUGGCAGACGGGUGAGUAACAUGUAGGUAUCUGCCCUUUGGCCUGGAAUAACACGAGGAAACUUGUGCUAAUACCGGAUAAGUCUUUACGGAGAAAGCUUUACGCACCAUUGGAUGAGCCUGCACUUGAUUAGUUUGUUGGUGGGGUAAUGGCCUACCAAGACUGUGAUCAAUAGCUGAUUUGAGAGGAUGAUCAGCCACAUUGGGACUGAGACACGGCCCAAACUCCUACGGGAGGCAGCAGUGGGGAAUCUUGCACAAUGGAGGAAACUCUGAUGCAGCGAUGCCGCGUGAGUGAAGAAGGCCCUUGGGUUGUAAAGCUCUUUCGUCGGGGAAGAAAAUGACUGUACCCGAAUAAGAAGGUCCGGCUAACUUCGUGCCAGCAGCCGCGGUAAUACGAAGGGACCUAGCGUAGUUCGGAAUUACUGGGCUUAAAGAGUUCGUAGGUGGUUGAAAAAGUUAGUGGUGAAAUCCCAGAGCUUAACUCUGGAACUGCCAUUAAAACUUUUCAGCUAGAGUAUGAUAGAGGAAAGCAGAAUUUCUAGUGUAGAGGUGAAAUUCGUAGAUAUUAGAAAGAAUACCAAUUGCGAAGGCAGCUUUCUGGAUCAUUACUGACACUGAGGAACGAAAGCAUGGGUAGCGAAGAGGAUUAGAUACCCUCGUAGUCCAUGCCGUAAACGAUGUGUGUUAGACGUUGGAAAUUUAUUUUCAGUGUCGCAGCGAAAGCGAUAAACACACCGCCUGGGGAGUACGACCGCAAGGUUAAAACUCAAAUGAAUUGACGGGGACC